rnacentral:rRNA from 1 species
GACGAACGCUGGCGGCGUGCCUAAUACAUGCAAGUUGAGCGCUGAAGGUUGGUACUUGUACCGACUGGAUGAGCAGCGAACGGGUGAGUAACGCGUGGGGAAUCUGCCUUUGAGCGGGGGACAACAUUUGGAAACGAAUGCUAAUACCGCAUAAAAACUUUAAACACAAGUUUUAAGUUUGAAAGAUGCAAUUGCAUCACUCAAAGAUGAUCCCGCGUUGUAUUAGCUAGUUGGUGAGGUAAAGGCUCACCAAGGCGAUGAUACAUAGCCGACCUGAGAGGGUGAUCGGCCACAUUGGGACUUGGACGCGGCCCAAACUCCUACGGGUAGCAGCAGUAGGGAAUCUUCGGCAAUGGACGAAAGUCUGACCGGGCAACGCCGCGUGAGUGAAGAAGGUUUUCGGAUCGUAAAACUCUGUUGGUAGAGAAGAACGUUGGUGAGAGUGGAAAGCUCAUCAAGUGACGGUAACUACCCAGAAAGGGACGGCUAACUACGUG